GACGAACGCUGGCGGCAGGCUUAACACAUGCAAGUCGAGCGAGCGGCGGACGGGUGAGUAAUGUCUGGGAAACUGCCUGAUGGAGGGGGAUAACUACUGGAAACGGUAGCUAAUACCGCAUACUAUCGGAUGAACCCAUAUGGGAUUAGCUAGUAGGUGGGGUAAAGGCUCACCUAGGCGACGAUCUCUAGCUGGUCUGAGAGGAUGAUCAGCCGCACUGGGACUGAGAAACGGCCCAGACUCCGACGGGAGGCAGCAGUGGGGAAUAUUGCACAAUGGGCGCAAGCCUGAUGAAGCCAUGGCGCGUGUAUGAAGAAGGCCGUAGGGUUGUAAAGUACUUGCAGCGGGGAGGCGUUGCCCGCAGAAGGAGCACCGGCUAAGUCCGUGCCAGCAGCCGCGGUAAUUC
rnacentral:rRNA from 1 species